rnacentral:rRNA from 1 species
GGUCUAGUGUAGCAAUUACACAGCGAAACUGCGAAUGGCUCAUUAUAUAAGUUAUCGUUUAUUUGAUAGUUCCUUACUACUUGGAUAACCGUGGUAAUUCUAGAGCUAAUACAUGCUAAAAACCCCGACUUCGAAAGGGGUGUAUUAAUUAAAUUAAAAGCCCUUGCCCUUCCGGGCUCACUGCUGAUUCAUAUUAACUUCUCCAAUCGCAUGGCCUUGCGCCGGCGAUGGCUCAUUCCUAUUUCUUCCCUAUCAACUUUCAAAGCUAUAGUAUAGUUCGAUCAUGGUUACAACGGGAAACGGAGGGUUAGGGCUCGACCCCGGAGAAUGAGCCUGAGAAACGACUACUACAUCCAGGGAAGGGAGCAGGCGCUAAAAUUACCCAAUCCCGACACGGGGAGGUAAUGACGAUAGAUACUGAUACAGGGCUCUUUUGGGUCUUGUAAUUGGAAUGAUUACAAUUUAUAUCCCUUAACGAGGAGCAAUUGGAGGGCGAGGCUGGUGCCCGCAGCCGCGGCAAUUCCAGCUCCAAUAAUGUAUAUUAAAGUUGUUGUGGAUAUAAAACUCGAACCAUAACCUUGGGCCUGGCUGGCCGCUCCGCCUCACCGCUGGCACUGGUGCGGCCGGGCCUUUCCCUCUGCGGAUGCGCAUGCCCGUCAG